rnacentral:rRNA from 1 species
CACGUAGGGGGCGAGCGUUGUCCGGAUUUAUUGGGCGUAAAGAGCUCGUAGGCGGUUUCGUAAGUCGGAUGUGAAAACUCCAGCUCAACUUGGAUGACGCCAUUCGAUACUGCGAUGACUUGAGUCCGGUAGGGGAGUGUGGAAUUCCUGGUGUAGCGGUGAAAUGCGCAGAUAUCAGGAGGAACACCGGUGGCGAAGGCGACCACUCUGGGCCGAAACUGACGCUGAGGAGCGAAAGCGUGGGUAGCAAACAGG